rnacentral:rRNA from 1 species
UACAGAGGUCUCAAGCGUUGUUCGGAUUCAUUGGGCGUAAAGGGUGCGUAGGCGGCGCGGUAAGUCGGGUGUGAAAUCUUGGAGCUUAACUCCGAAACUGCAUUCGAUACUGCCGUGCUUGAGGACUGGAGAGGAGACUGGAAUUUACGGUGUAGCGGUGAAAUGCGUAGAUAUUGGGAAGAACACCGGUGGCGAAGGCGGCGCUCUGGACCGAGACUGACGCUGAGGCGCGAAGGCGUGGGGAGCAAACAGG